UACGAAGGGUGCAAGCGUUACUCGGAAUUACUGGGCGUAAAGCGUGCGUAGGUGGUUCGUUAAGUCUGUCGUGAAAGCCCCGGGCUCAACCUGGGAAUGGCGAUGGAUACUGGCGAGCUAGAGUGCGGUAGAGGAGAGUGGAAUUCCCGGUGUAGCAGUGAAAUGCGUAGAGAUCGGGAGGAACAUCAGUAGCGAAGGCGGCUCGCUGGGCCACACCUGACGCUGAGACGCGAAAGCUAGGGGAGCGAACAGG
rnacentral:rRNA from 1 species